GCCAAUAGACCCCCACUGCGCUCAGGCAGGUGACUCUGGUGGCCCUUGGCUGGGACCCUGCACAAAGUCUCACAACUGAACAAGACUCGGUUUGUUCAGCCCAUUUCAUUGAUGCCUCUGGAGCCACAGCAAUGUGGUGAGCAGAGCACAAAGAUAACCAGGCGUACAAGGAGACAAGACCCCAUGAGCAAGAAUCGGCACAAACAAAAGACAACAGAGAUUGACCAUGAAGAGUUCCGAUACAGGAAUUAUCAGACAUUAUGGCCUUUGAAAGGUGUUUAAAAAAAACAUAAGAAUCACAGGCUUACAGAUCCUCGUGGUCCAGCUGAUCCUAAAAUUCACAUGGAGAUGGAAGGAACCCCUAAUAGCCAAAAGAAUCAGGAAAAGAACAAAUUUGGAGGCUCAUAGCUCCUGAUUCCAAGAUAUAUAGGCAGAUAGAUAGAUUAUCUUCAUUUUACUUAUUUGUUUUUCUAUGGUGCUGAGGAUGGAACCCAGUGACUCACACAUGAGAGGCAAGUGCUCUGCCACUGAGCUACCGCCCCAGCCCCAUGAUUCCAAGACUUAAUGCAAAGCUACAAUAAUCAAGACUGUGCCGGACCAACCUUUAGACAGACAAAUAGACCAAAAGAAUGUAACUUAGAGUUCAGGAAUAAACCCACGUGUUUGUGCUCAUUUGAA